GACGAACGCUGGCGGCGUGCUUAACACAUGCAAGUCGAACGGAAAGGCCCUGCUUUUGUGGGGUGCUCGAGUGGCGAACGGGUGAGUAACACGUGAGUAACCUGCCCUUGACUUUGGGAUAACUUCAGGAAACUGGGGCUAAUACCGGAUAGGAGCUCCUGCUGCAUGGUGGGGGUUGGAAAGUUUCGGCGGUUGGGGAUGGACUCGCGGCUUAUCAGCUGGUUGGUGGGGUAGUGGCUUACCAAGGCUUUGACGGGUAGCCGGCCUGAGAGGGUGACCGGCGACAUUGGGACUGAGAUACGGCCCAGACUCCUACGGGAGGCAGAAGUGGGGAAUCUUGCACAAUGGGCGGAAGCCUGAUGCAGCAACGCCGCGUGCGGGAUGACGGCCUUCGGGUUGUAAACCGCUUUCGCCUGUGACGAAGCGUGAGUGACGGUAAUGGGUAAAGAAGCACCGGCUAACUACGUG
rnacentral:rRNA from 1 species